GGCGAGCUGGGGUAUGUGGCUGUCCUUGCCCAAGGGAUCCUGAUUGAUCUUCUCUGGUGGCAACAGGGCUCAGCCCCCUCAUUCCUGCAGGAUAAAGGAAACCUUGGAAGAGAGGCAGUGACAAGGUUGAUGGCAAAAAGACCUCUAAGGAUUUCAGAAUAAAUACUUAGACACCAACUUAGAAUACAUAGAACUUUCUAGAAGGUCUGAAUGAAUACACCCUCCCCUACUUGAAACUUCAGGACAGCUGGCAGCUUAGGCCUUUUGUCCUCCAUCUGUGUCCAGCUAUUAGAGUUGUGCUGUGAUGUUAUUGAAUUGAAUCAAGAACCCAGGUGUGCUACCUCUUUCAGGCCCAUGUCAUCUUAAAGGUCCAAGAUCUACAGGCUAGUUGGAACAGAUGAGUAGAGGAAGAAGGAAAGAAUAUUUAUUGUUUUGACUCCAAAAUAUGGUGGCAAAACUUUGCAAAAUACAGAAGGUUAAAAGAUUGCCACAAUA